rnacentral:rRNA from 1 species
GACGAACGCUGGCGGCGUGCCUAAUACAUGCAAGUCGAGCGGACGGAUGGGAGCUUGCUCCCAGGCCGUCAGCGGCGGACGGGUGAGUAACACGUGGGCAACCUGCCUGUAAAACUGGGAUAACUCCGGGAAACCGGGGCUAAUACCGGAUAACUCUUUCCCUCACAUGAGGGAAAGCUGACAGAUGGCAUCUCGCUAUCACUUACAGAUGGGCCCGCGGCGUAUCAGCUAGUUGGUGUGGUAACGGCUCACCAAGGCGACGAUGCGUAGCCGACCUGAGAGGGUGAUCGGCCACCCUGGGACUGAGACAGGGCACAGACUCGAACGGGAGGCAGCAGUGGGGAAUCUUCCGCAAAGGACGAAAGUCUGACGGAGCAACGCCGAGUGAGUGAUGAAGGUUUUCGGAUCGUAAAACUCUGUUGUCAGGGAAGAACAAGUACCGGAGUAACUGCCGGUACCUUGACGGUACCUGACGAGAAAGCCACGGCUAACUACGUG